rnacentral:antisense_RNA from 1 species
AGAUCCGCCUCCAUCGCAGCCAGAAGCAAGAAGCUGUCUUCCCGCCCCCGCGUGCCUACAAUCAGCCCCAGUCUCCCCGGGAAACAGACGAGCGCACCUGAGCUGAGUUCUGAGCUCCAGCGUUUGGGGCUAGAAGUUGCGGACUAGUAGCUGAGGCAGCACGGGAGUGUAGGCGCGCGGGGUCGUUGCCGGGGGCACAGAGUGAGAACAAGCAAGGGAGCCCUGCUGAAUUGCAGCUUAGGAAGCCCUGAAUCCUGGAGAUAUGUUCCUGACCUUUCCUUCUUGAAGGGACAGCUGUGUAACCAUUCAACCAUCUGGCCAUCAGUUUCCACAUCUGUGAAAUCAACUUCUGCCUCAUGGAGCCAUGAGUGCCCAAGCAGUGAAGGCAGUGAGGAGCUGUGGUGUGAUCCAGGAGGCUGAGAAUUAUGCAGUGGGUGCUGUCACCUUGAAGACAUCAGCGUGAUCAGGCAGAUCAUCAUGGUACUGCAUUUCCUGGACACGAUCUUAAUUUUCUUAAUACCUCCGCUGACAUUUCAAAUAGCGUCUCUAAUGCCCCAGAGACUUUUAUGCCCCUAAGGUAGUUUUCUUUCUUUU